CCUCAGUGGUGUGAGGGAGGCAUCCAUCAGCAUGUGGGUUCCCUGUGGAACUGAACUGGGAGAUUUAUGAAGGCUGCUGACUGCAAGAAAUGCUCCUCCGCUUGGAAUACCCAAGUCCAGGGCACCCAGUUCCAUCUACAUGACAACUGAGAAAACCCAUCUGAUAGAUGAGGAAGAACAGGCCCAGAGAGCUGAAGAAACUUGUCCGUGUGCACAUACCUAGGAAACGGCAAGACACUCAGAUCUACUUCUCAAGCACUCGGCUACGAAGCCUCCUUUCAGUGGAAAGAGAAAGGGGAGAAAGGCGAGGGAGGGAGAUCGAGGACACGAUAGUUUAAACAGCGCUGGAGUGAUCCAUCCCUUAAAGGUUUGGUGGAACCUGAGGGGCCAACCUCAACCUGCAGCUGGCACCUGGAAAGAGAGCCUCAG
ensembl:lncRNA